UCCCUCAUAGUUCAGUUGGUAAAGAAUCUGCCUGCAAUGCAGGAGACCCGGGUUUGAUUCCUGGGUUGGGAA
rnacentral:tRNA from 1 species